UUCUUACAAAUAUUAAAAUGACCAGAAAUUCAUUGAAUAAUGAUAUUCUAAACAAGACAAUAUAUUUAAUGCAUAUAUUUAGACGUUGAAAUAUUUUAUUAGUCGGAAGCAUCUUACAAUGCAGAAGACAAUCCCUUUAAUGGCGUUCUCAGUUACGGAUCUGGAGUCUGGAGUUUUUAAGUCAGCUCACGAUAUCAAGAAAGGGCACAUACAUUAAAGUGUAAACAAAUUAUUGCGUGCACCUAAAAAAAACCUGAAAUCACUUUGUUUAUCUAAUUAGGAGUAUGUCCGUAAGCCAUCAUAAGAAAACAGAGAAUGUUUAAAUAAUGGAUAAACUUGGUAUUACAGGAGUUGUAUUUUAAAAGCGAUAUAUAUAUAUGAGGAAAUGUACCAGUAUGAAGAUAACUGGUGAACAAAUAUUAAAGAAGAGCUAGAUACGCAUUGAUUACACUAUAUAUGAAAAUCGACCUAUAUCCAUAUCAGUUAUCAUAUAAUUAGAGAAAGAGUAUGUGAUAUAUUUAAGCAACGUGCUAUAGGACAAUGAUUACUAUAUCAACAUUUUAUUUUUAAACAAUAGAAAAUACAAAAAUAUCUGACAAAGCCAACAGACUCAUGGAAUUUAAAAGAAAUAAUUGAAAUGAUAAUUUGUUCACGUAAAUAAAGUAUAGAAGCUGGUAGGUAUAAAAAUAUUGAGAGGACAUAGACAAUAGACCUCUGCAUACUAUGUAAUAUUAAUGCGAUUGAGGGCGAGUUCCACUGCAUUUUAUAAUGACCCCGAUACGAAACUUUCAUAAAGAAACUAAGACUGGAAACAUCAAGUAGAUAAAUAACCUUGGCAAAUACUCACUGCAAGCGAAUAUAACAAGAUAUUAUAAUAUAACAAUAACAUUAACCUCUCGGCUACCGGGUUGUCCACACAAAUGGAAAUUCAAAUAAACGUAGCUAACAAUGUGUGCUGCCAAACACUCUGUUCAAAUCUAAUAUAACAGUUUUGAUGUAUGCAGCAACUAAUUGUAUCUAUAACCAUUUGUUUUUACUGGCUGAUGAUACUUAUAAAAAUAAAUCUACAAAAAUAUAUAUGAAAAUAAUUGGUGGAAUGUGUGUAUAUAUAUAUAUACACGUAUUUGGCAUAUGUAUAUAAUAUAUAGCUAGUUAUCUAUCCGUUGACUGUAAUAUUUACAUGGCUAUUGGCCUCGUUAUAUAGGUAGUCACUUAAUACAGGUCAGUUAACACAUAAAAUCGUUCGGGAGGAAUGCAAGUGACCGCUAUGGACAGUUGGCUGCUGAACACAGGUAGCCGCUGAACACAGGUGACAUAGUAGGCCGCCGAGCACAGGUUGCCUCUGAACACAAGUGGUCGCUGAACACAGUUUGCCGCUGAAAUCAUGUGGCCGCUGAACACAGUUAGUCGCUGAAUAAAUUGAUUGCUGAAAAUAGUUGUCCACUGAGCACAGGUUGCCUCUAGACAUAGGUGGGCGCUGAGCACAGGUUGCCUCUAGACAUAGGUGGGCGCUGAGCACAGGUUGCCUCUAGACAUAGGUGGGCGCUGAGCACAGGUUGCCUCUAGACAUAGGUGGGCGCUGAGCACAGGUUGCCUCUAGACAUAGGUGGGCGCUGAGCACAGGUUGCCUCUAGACAUAGGUGGGCGCUGAGCACAGGUUGCCUCUAGACAUAGGUGGGCGCUGAGCACAGGUUGCCUCUAGACAUAGGUGGGCGCUGAGCACAGGUUGCCUCUAGACAUAGGUGGGCGCUGAGCACAGGUUGCCUCUAGACAUAGGUGGGCGCUGAGCACAGGUUGCCUCUAGACAUAGGUGGGCGCUGAGCACAGGUUGCCUCUAGACAUAGGUGGGCGCUGAGCACAGGUUGCCUCUAGACAUAGGUGGGCGCUGAGCACAGGUUGCCUCUAGACAUAGGUGGGCGCUGACCACAGUCCCAUAUUACUUACAUGUAAGAUUUCGUCAAUUAUCCAUGCCACUGUGGAUUUAAAUAUUUUUUAUUGGAAGAGUAUUAUUCACUGGAUGUCCCACCAUGAAUGUUAAUAUUUAAUAUAUGGCUAGAUACGACAGAAUUACCGAAGGUUUAGCACACAAUAGCCGACGAUGAAUAAAUUAAUGCACUGUAGUAAUGUCGUUAAACAGAGCAAACGUUAGUUUAAAGGGGCAUUUCUGAGUUUGCUGCAACAGAUACUUUUUAACGAUUAUAAUUACAUGUCAAAUAUAUUUUUUCUGCAUAAAAUAUUAGUGGCUGUAUUUUAAACGUGUCUGUACUAGGUU